rnacentral:rRNA from 1 species
GAUGAACGCUGGCGGCGUGCCUAAUACAUGCAAGUCGAGCGAACAGACGAGGAGCUUGCUCCUCUGACGUUAGCGGCGGACGGGUGAGUAACACGUGGAUAACCUACCUAUAAGACUGGGAUAACUUCGGGAUACCGGAGCUAAUACCGGAUAAUAUAUUGAACCGCAUGGUUCAAUAGUGAAAGACGGUUUUGCUGUCACUUAUAGAUGGAUCCGCGCCGCAUUAGCUAGUUGGUAAGGUAACGGCUUACCAAGGCAACGAUGCGUAGCCGACCUGAGAGGGUGAUCGGCCACACUGGAACUGAGACACGGUCCAGACUCCUACGGGAGGCAGCAGUAGGGAAUCUUCCGCAAUGGGCGAAAGCCUGACGGAGCAACGCCGCGUGAGUGAUGAAGGUCUUCGGAUCGUAAAACUCUGUUAUUAGGGAAGAACAAAUGUGUAAGUAACUAUGCACGUUUUGACGGUACCUAAUCAGAAAGCCACGGCUAACUACGUG